GGUGUGUAGAAAGGCACAUGUGUGUUGUCUUGAAAAUUGGAGCACAUUGACAAAAGGAGGCAACAUAUUAAAUUGAUUGUUGAAUGAAGAGAAUGAAGGGACUUUUGUGCAUGGGAGGUCACGGCCCAAGGGGUCUUCUUAGGCCAUUUUCAUUUCCAAUUUCUUUAUUUGGUGCACACUUGGUCACAUGAAUUGCUUGAAAAAAAUUGUGUUUGCUUAUUUCUUUUGUUAUAAAUUAAUUUGCAUAUUAGGAUUAAUUGCUUUUGAUUUCUCUAAUUUAGUCUUGCAUUUAAAUUAAUUUGACCUUGUUAGAUAGUUGUGUGUAAUAGUGUUGGUAUCUAGUAUUUUAUUUUAUUUUGUCUUAAUGUUGUCUUGUAUUUGUGGUCUUGUUUCUUUAGUUGCCAUGUUAGCUUAAUUUAGUUUGUUUGCAUCUGUGUCUUUAUUGACUUCUUUAAUUUCUGCAAAACCCUUUUCACAACCCCCCGCU
rnacentral:lncRNA from 1 species